CCCUGGUGGCGAGUGGCGAACGGGUGAGUAAUGCAUCGGAACGUGCCCAUCGAUGGGGGAUAACUGCGCGAAAGCGUUGCUAGUACCGCAUACGACCUACGGGUGAAAGCAGGGGACCGCAAGGCCUUGCGUCGAUGGAGCGGCCGAUGCCGGAUUAGCUAGUUGGUGAGGUAAAGGCUCACCAAGACGACGAUCCGUAGCUGGUCUGAGAGGACGACCCAGCCACACUGGGACUGAGACACGGCCCAGACUCCUACGGGAGGCAGCAGUGGGGAAUCUUGGACAAUGGGCGAAAGCCUGAUCCAGCAAUGCCGCGUGUGGGAAGAAGGCCUUCGGGUUGUAAACCACUUUUGGCGGGAAAGAAAUGGUCUGUGCUAAUACCACGGAUUGAUGACGGUACCCGCAGAAUAAGCACCGGCUAACUACGUG
rnacentral:rRNA from 1 species